rnacentral:rRNA from 1 species
CUUGUACACACCGCCCGUCACACCAUGGAAGUUGGUUGCACCAGAAGUAGGUAGCCUAACCGUAAGGAGGGCGCUUACCACGGUGUGGCCAAUGACUGGGGUG